GGGGGGAUACCGUUUUUUUUUGAAAAAAAAAUCAGAUUAGUGCUCAUGGUUUUGCUCAUUUUUUAUUUUAUAUAAAUUUUAAUUGUCAGCGUAAUUACAAUUUGAGGUAAAGUUUUAUUUAAGCUUAGGGUUUUAGUUAAUUUUUUUUUUACAUGUAAGGCUUAAAAGUUUAUACAACUCGUUAGCAGUAGAAAGUCUUAUAAAUUUAGUAAUCUGAGAUUUAGAAAUUGAUUUUAAUUUUAAUAAAAUUUGUGCCAGCAAUUGCGGUUAUACAAAUAAGGUAAUUAAAACUUAUUAGUGAAUAAUUAAAUGUUAUUUUUUAAUUUAUUAUGAACUUUUUUAGGUGAAAUUUUUAAAGUUGAUAUAAGUUAUCUAUUUAUUUUUGAAGUUAUUAAAAUUUUAUUUAAACUAGGAUUAGAUACCCUACUAUUUUAAUUGUAAAUUUAAUUAAACUUGAUUAUUAUUAGAUUAUUUUCUUGAAAAUUAAAAAAUUUGGCGGUAUUCUAGUCCUUUCAGAGGAACCUGCCCUGUAAUUGAUAGUCCACGAUUUAAUUUACUUUUAUUAAGGUUUGUAUAUCGCCGUGUUUUGAGUAUUUCAUAAGAAUUAAAAUAUUCAAUAGGUACAAUAAUAGGUUAUUUCAGGUCAAGGUGCAGCUUAUAUAAAAGAAGAGGUGGGUUACAAUAAAUUUAUUUCUGGUUUUUUAGUUUUUAACCUGGAUAUUAAAUUGGAUUUGAAAGUAAUAUUUUUUAAUUUAUAAAUGUGAUUUAGGCUCUAGAAUAUGCACAUAUUGCCCGUCGUUCUCAAUGUUUUUGAGACAAGUCGUAACAUAGUAGAUGUACUGGAAAGUGUAUCUAGAAAGAU
rnacentral:ncRNA from 1 species